rnacentral:rRNA from 1 species
GAUGAACGCUGGCGGCGUGCCUAAUACAUGCAAGUCGAGCGAACGGACGAGAAGCUUGCUUCUCUGAUGUUAGCGGCGGGCGGGUGAGUAACACGUGGAUAACCUACCUAUAAGACUGGGAUAACUUCGGGAAACCGGAGCUAAUACCGGAUGAUAUUUUGAACCGCAUGGUUCAAAAGUGAAAGACGGUCUUGCUGUCACUUAUAGAUGGAUCCGCGCUGCAUUAGCUAGUUGGUAAGGUAACGGCUUACCAAGGCAACGAUGCAUAGCCGACCUGAGAGGGUGAUCGGCCACACUGGAACUGAGACACGGUCCAGACUCCUACGGGAGGCAGCAGUAGGGAAUCUUCCGCAAAGGGCGAAAGCCUGACGGAGCAACGCCGCGUGAGUGAUGAAGGUCUUCGGAUCGUAAAACUCUGUUAUUAGGGAAGAACAUAUGUGUAAGUAACUGUGCACAUCUUGACGGUACCUAAUCAGAAAGCCACGGCUAACUACGUG